UCCUGGUUAGCUCACUUGGUAGAGCGCUCUUCUGUAAAUGGAGAGGUUCAUUGUUCGAUACCAGGACCAGGCG
rfam:Ixodes scapularis strain Wikel colony gcontig_1108378881786, whole genome shotgun sequence.